GAAAUGCGAUACGUAAUGUGAAUUGCAAAUUCAGUGAAUCAUCGAGUCUUUGAACGCACAUUGCGCCCCCUGGUAUUCCGGGGGGCAUGCCUGUCCGAGCGUCAUUUCUGCCCUCAAGCACGGCUUGUGUGUUGGGCCCCGUCCUCCGAUCCCGGGGGACGGGCCCGAAAGGCAGCGGCGGCACCGCGUCCGGUCCUCGAGUGUAUGGGGCUUUGUCACCCGCUCUGUAGGCCCGGCCGGCGCUUGCCGAUCAACCCAAAUUUUUAUCCAGGUUGACCUCGGAUCAGGUAGGGAUACCCGCUGAACUUAAGC
rnacentral:misc_RNA from 1 species